rnacentral:rRNA from 1 species
UACGGAGGGGGCUAGCGUUGUUCGGAAUUACUGGGCGUAAAGCGCGCGUAGGCGGCUUUGUAAGUUAGAGGUGAAAGCCCAGGGCUUAACCCUGGAAUUGCCCUUAAGACUGCAUCGCUAGAAUCGUGGAGAGGUGAGUGGAAUUCCGAGUGUAGAGGUGAAAUUCGUAGAUAUUCGGAAGAACACCAGUGGCGAAGGCGACUCACUGGACACGUAUUGACGCUGAGGUGCGAAAGCGUGGGGAGCAAACAGG